rnacentral:rRNA from 1 species
GAUGAACGCUAGCGGCAGGCAUAAUACAUGCAAGUUGAACGGGAUUCAGGUAGCAAUAUUUGAUGAGAGUGGCGCACGGGUGCGUAACACGUAUGCAACUUACCUUAAACUGGGAGAUAGCCCGUGGAAACAUGGAUUAAUAUCCCAUAGUAUAAAGAACAGGCAUUUGUUUUUUAUUAAAGCUCCGGCGGUUUAAGAUGGGCAUGCGCGUCAUUAGCUAGAUGGAGAGGUAACGGCUCACCAUGGCAACGAUGACUAGGGGGUCUGAGAGGAUGUCCCCCCACACUGGUACUGAGACACGGACCAGACUCCUACGGGAGGCAGCAGUAGGGAAUAUUGGGCAAUGGACGCAAGUCUGACCCAGCCAUGCCGCGUGCAGGAAGACGGCCCUCUGGGUUGUAAACUGCUUUUAUCAGGGAAGAAACCCUUCUACGUGUAGGAGGCUGACGGUACCUGAGGAAUAAGGAUCGGCUAACUCCGUGCCAGCAGCCG